rnacentral:lncRNA from 1 species
GACCAUCGUGUUUAUUUUCUGCUCAGUCAGUUCAAGAGCAACAUCUCCUUCUUGUAAGGCCGUGCUUUUCUCUAUUGUCAUAAAUGCACUAAAUACAAAGAAAGCAUAUACAUAUCAGUAGUGAAGAAUUGUAAAGAUGGAGAGUAAUCAUGGAGAUGGAGUGUGGAGAGUUGAUGUAAAUCUCAGAUUCAAAGCAUCCAUAAAGACUACGCUGAAAUAGGUUAAAGUAUAUGAACCUGCAAAGGAAACAGAAAAGCAGCAACAGGAAAGAAAGAAGACAAAAGUGGGUAAAAAUCUCAGGAGGAAAUCAAGAGAAUAUGUCAAGAUGGAGGGAGUAGACAAUGGUAUCAUAUACUGUGGUCAAGCAGGCAAAUACAAUUGAUUUCUUCACCAACAUGUGACAAUAUGAGGAAAGGGACUUUGUCUUAAAUGUCAUUGCCUGCCUCUUUCUUCACCAUUGACACCUAGCAUAAUGCCUUACAUGGAGAACAUUUUUUGAAUGCAUUUAUUGAAGGAAUGAUUAAACACAUCUUGCUAAACUAAAUAAAAGGAAAGACCCACAUAGCAUGUAAUAUGAAUAUAAUGAAACCAAAGAUAGCUUAAUAUUUUUAGGGAGGAAAAUAUAUGUAUAUAAAUACAAAACAGGAUUACAUUGAAUAGAAGCAUAGUAGAAACAAAAAGCCCAGUGGAAAGAAAUAUAUACAGCUCAAAAUGGACUGGCCAUGAAUCAAAGCAUCAUGUUGUCACCAUAAAAGAAAAUUAGUAGUUAAAAUGAAUGGACUGUUUACUCACACUGAUUAUACUUCUUGGACUCAGUGUACAGUUAUGACCUACUUAGCUAAGGAAGACCUGAAAAUGCUUUUUUAAACCACAUGAAGAGAUCUCUUCUGUGUGCCAAAUUUUCCGACUGCAGAGGAAGAAUUAACAAUGGCCAAGGCCAAGGGGAACAGGCAGAAAGAAGAGUGUGGCCUCAAAUGAUUUACAAGCAUUAAUCAGGAAACAUAUGGCUGUCUUGCCAAACUUGCUGGACAUUUACAAGGUUCAUAGCAUAGCUCACAGC